UUCGCUUUUUGUCCAGCUCUCUUCGUCAGAGGCAUCAUCAAAAGGUUGUGUUAUUUGUUUCAAUAAAAUCUAUACACUUAAUCUUUUAUUAAUUUUUGUGCUCUCUGGCUCUUCUUCUUUCAACUCAAAAGUGGAAUUAGUAAAUUUUGAUAAAGACCUUCUAUUAAAUCAAAAUUUGUCAUCUCAAUUUGAAAAAAAAAUUUUAAGCCUGGGAGGAAUAAGUUUAUCUAAUACUAUAAAUAAGAUUAUACCUACCAUUAUAACAUAAACUGUGUCGUCAACUAACUUUUGGUACAGUUUUCAUGGAACUCUUGCUGUAAAGGAUCUCCAUUUUUCAUCGAUAAUCAUAAGUGCUACACGAAAAAAAAUUGCAUCUACUGUAACAGAUGUACAAGAACGCAUUAAAGAUUGGUUGCGUAGACCAUCUGACAGGCAGAAAAAAAAGAGAGGAGUCAAUCAACAGCCUAUAUUGUGAUUAAUUUUCUAAUUGUGCUUAAACCAGUGAUUCUUAAGUAUGACAUAAGUAUAAAGUAUUUUGUUAUCGUAAAAAAACAAUUGUAAAAAAUACACUUUUAAAAAUAUCUAUUAUAAUGAAGGCAUCGUGCAAUUCAAAGAACUAUAGAUACCUUUGAAUUGAAUGAAUUGAUUGAUUAAUUUAUAAUUUAAAGGCCAUUAUUCAAAUGAAUUAUAAAUUUGUUCAAUUUAAAGGUAUCUGUGGUUCUUUGAGUUGCGUAAAUGCUACUAUUAUAUUAUUUAAUACUAUUUAAACGAUACCCUCAAGAUAUCAUUUAAUUUACACAGCAGAUAUCUGUAAGAUAUCAUUGAAUUUAGCACCACAGAUAUCUAAAAGACAUCCUUAAUUCUUGCUCAAAAGACAUCCAUAAGAGAUCAAAAACAUUUACGGUAUGACAA